rnacentral:rRNA from 1 species
AGUGAACGCUGGCGGCAGGCCUAACACAUGCAAGUCGAACGGAAGCACAGUAAGAGUUUGCUCUUACGGGUGGCGAGUGGCGGACGGGUGAGGCAUACAUCGGAAUCUACUUUUUCGUGGGGGAUAACGGAGGGCAACUUACGCUAAUACCGCAUACGACCUACGGGAGAAAGCAGGGGAUCUUCGCACCUUGCGCGACUGAAUGAGACGAUGUCGGAUUGGCUAGUUGGCGAGGUAAAGGCCCACCAAGGCGACGAUACGUAGCUGGUCUGAGAGGAUGAUCGGCCACACUGGAACUGAGACACGGUCCAGACUCCUACGGGAGGCAGCAGUAGGGAAUAUUGCACAAUGGGCGCAAGCCUGACCCAGCAACACCGCGUGAGUGAUGAAGGCCUUCGGGUUGUAAAGCCCUUUUAUUAGGAAAGAAAAACUGCAGGAUAAUCCCCCGCUGUUCUGACGGUACCCAAAGAGUAAGCACCGGCUAACUUCGUG